AUUGAACGCUGGCGGCAGGCCUAACACAUGCAAGUCGAACGGUAACAGGAAGAAGCUUGCUUCUUUGCUGACGAGUGGCGGACGGGUGAGUCAUGUCUGGGAAACUGCCUGAUGGAGGGGGAUAACUACUGGAAACGGUAGCUAAUACCGCAUAACGUCGCAAGACCAAAGAGGGGGACCUUCGGGCCUCUUGCCAUCGGAUGUGCCCAGAUGGGAUUAGCUAGUAGGUGGGGUAACGGCUCACCUAGGCGACGAUCCCUAGCUGGUCUGAGAGGAUGACCAGCCACACUAGAACUGAGACACGGUCCAGACUCCUACGGGAGGCAGCAGUGGGGAAUAUUGCACAAUGGGCGCAAGCCUGAUGCAGCCAUGCCGCGUGUAUGAAGAAGGCCUUCGGGUUGUAAAGUACUUUCAGCGGGGAGGAAGGGAGUAAAGUUAAUACCUUUGCUCAUUGACGUUACCCGCAGAAGAAGCACCGGCUAACUCCGUG
rnacentral:rRNA from 1 species